CCUACGGGUGGCAGCAGUGGGGAAUAUUGGACAAUGGGCGAAAGCCUGAUCCAGCCAUGCCGCGUGUGUGAAGAAGGCCUUCGGGUUGUAAAGCACUUUCAGUGGGGAAGAAAGCCUUGGGGCUAAUACCCUCGAGGAAGGACAUCACCCACAGAAGAAGCACCGGCUAACUCCGUGCCAGCAGCCGCGGUAAUACGGAGGGUGCGAGCGUUAAUCGGAAUUACUGGGCGUAAAGCGCGCGUAGGCGGUCUGAUAAGCCGGUUGUGAAAGCCCCGGGCUCAACCUGGGAACGGCAUCCGGAACUGUCAGGCUAGAGUGCAGGAGAGGAAGGUAGAAUUCCCGGUGUAGCGGUGAAAUGCGUAGAGAUCGGGAGGAAUACCAGUGGCGAAGGCGGACUUCUGGACUGACACUGACGCUGAGGUGCGAAAGCGUGGGUAGCAAACAGGAUUAGAUACCCCUGUAGUC
rnacentral:rRNA from 1 species